rnacentral:scRNA from 1 species
GGGGUUGGGGAUUUAGCUCAGUGGUAGAGCGCUUACCUAGGAAGCGCAAGGCCCUGGGUUCGGUCCCCAGCUCCGAAAAAAAGAACCAAAAAAAAAAA